rnacentral:tRNA from 1 species
UCCUUCGUAGUCCAACGGCUAGGAUAACUCGCUUUCAGCAAGUCAAUUGAUUAACCAUCAAUGACUAGCGCCGAGUAGGCCCGGGUUCGACUCCCGGCGGGGGAA